rnacentral:rRNA from 1 species
CGCUGUUGUGGUUCAACUGAUUUGAAGAGCUUGCUCAGAUAUGACGAUGGACAUUGCAAAGAGUGGCGAACGGGUGAGUAACACGUGGGAAACCUACCUCUUAGCAGGGGAUAACAUUUGGAAACAGAUGCUAAUACCGUAUAACAAUGACAACCGCAUGGUUGUUAUUUAAAAGAUGGUUCUGCUAUCACUAAGAGAUGGUCCCGCGGUGCAUUAGCUAGUUGGUAAGGUAAUGGCUUACCAAGGCGAUGAUGCAUAGCCGAGUUGAGAGACUGAUCGGCCACAAUGGGACUGAGACACGGCCCAUACUCCUACGGGAGGCAGCAGUAGGGAAUCUUCCACAAUGGGCGAAAGCCUGAUGGAGCAACGCCGCGUGUGUGAUGAAGGGUUUCGGCUCGUAAAACACUGUUGUAAGAGAAGAAUGACAUUGAGAGUAACUGUUCAAUGUGUGACGGUAUCUUACCAGAAAGGAACGGCUAAAUACGUGCCAGCAGCCGCGGUAAUACGUAUGUUCCAAGCGUUAUCCGGAUUUAUUGGGCGUAAAGCGAGCGCAGACGGUUAUUUAAGUCUGAAGUGAAAGCCCUCAGCUCAACUGAGGAAUUGCUUUGGAAACUGGAUGACUUGAGUGCAGUAGAGGAAAGUGGAACUCCAUGUGUAGCGGUGAAAUGCGUAGAUAUAUGGAAGAACACCAGUGGCGAAGGCGGCUUUCUGGACUGUAACUGACGUUGAGGCUCGAAAGUGUGGGUAGCAAACAGGAUUAGAUACCCUGGUAGUCCACACCGUAAACGAUGAGUGCUAGGUGUUUGAGGGUUUCCGCCCUUAAGUGCCGCAGCUAACGCAUUAAGCACUCCGCCUGGGGAGUACGACCGCAAGGUUGAAACUCAAAGGAAUUGACGGGGACCCGCACAAGCGGUGGAGCAUGUGGUUUAAUUCGAAGCAACGCGAAGAACCUUACCAGGUCUUGACAUCCCUUGACAACUCCAGAGAUGGAGCGUUCCCUUCGGGGACAAGGUGACAGGUGGUGCAUGGUUGUCGUCAGCUCGUGUCGUGAGAUGUUGGGUUAAGUCCCGCAACGAGCGCAACCCUUAUUACUAGUUGCCAGCAUUCAGUUGGGCACUCUAGUGAGACUGCCGGUGACAAACCGGAGGAAGGUGGGGAUGACGUCAAAUCAUCAUGCCCCUUAUGACCUGGGCUACACACGUGCUACAAUGGCGUAUACAACGAGUUGCCAACCCGCGAGGGUGAGCUAAUCUCUUAAAGUACGUCUCAGUUCGGAUUGUAGGCUGCAACUCGCCUACAUGAAGUCGGAAUCGCUAGUAAUCGCGGAUCAGCACGCCGCGGUGAAUACGUUCCCGGGUCUUGUACACACCGCCCGUCACACCAUGAGAGUUUGUAACACCCAAAGCCGGUGGGGUAACCUUCGGGAGCCAGCCGUCU